rnacentral:misc_RNA from 1 species
UCUCCGUUGGUGAACCAGCGGAGGGAUCAUUAUCGAGUUUAUAACUCCCAAACCCUAUGUGAACUUACCACUUGUUGCUUCGGCGCGCGCUUCGGUGCCGCCGCGGACACUUAAACUCUUUGUUUUUAUAAGCAUUUCUGAGUGGCCGAAAGGCAAAAUACAAAUGAAUCAAAACUUUCAACAACGGAUCUCUUGGUUCUG